CCUCAAAUACUAUGUGCAGUUUUGGGUGCCACAAUAUAAGGACAUAAAGCUAUUAAAGUGUCCAAAAGAGGGCAACAAAGAUGGUGAAGGGUCUAGAGUGAAAGACAUAUGAGGAACAGUUGAAGUCACUUGAGAGAAGGAGGCUCAGGGG